AUUGAACGCUGGCGGCAGGCCUAACACAUGCAAGUCGAACGGUAACAGGAAACAGCUUGCUGUUUCGCUGACGAGUGGCGGACGGGUGAGUAAUGUCGGGGAAACUGCCUGAUGGAGGGGGAUAACUACUGGAAACGGUAGUUAAAACCGCAUAACGUCGCAAGACCAAAGAGGGGGACCCUCGGGCCUCUUGCCAUCGGAUGUGCCCAGAUGGGAUUAGCUUGUUGGUGGGGUAACGGCUCACCAAGGCGACGAUCCCUAGCUGGUCUGAGAGGAUGACCAGCCACACUGGAACUGAGACACGGUCCAGACUCCUACGGGAGGCAGCAGUGGGGAAUCUUGCACAAUGGGCGCAAGCCUGAUGCAGCCAUGCCGCGUGUAUGAAGAAGGCCUUCGGGUUGUAAAGUACUUUCAGCGGGGAGGAAGGGAGUAAAGUUAAUACCUUCGCUCAUUGACGUUACCCGCAGAAGAAGCCCCGGCUAACUCCGUG
rnacentral:rRNA from 1 species